GAUGAAGAACGUAGCGAAAUGCGAUAAGUAAUGUGAAUUGCAGAAUUCAGUGAAUCAUCGAAUCUUUGAACGCACAUUGCGCCCGCCAGUAUUCUGGCGGGCAUGCCUGUCUGAGCGUCAUUUCAACCCUCAUGCCCCUAGGGCGUGGUGUUGGGGAUCGGCCAAAGCCCGCGAGGGACGGCCGGCCCCUAAAUCUAGUGGCGGACCCGUCGUGGCCUCCUCUGCGAAGUAGUGAUAUUCCGCAUCGGAGAGCGACGAGCCCCUGCCGUUAAACCCCCAACUUUCCAAGGUUGACCUCAGAUCAGGUAGGAAUACUCGCUGAACUUAAGCAUAUCAAUAAGCGGAGGA
rnacentral:misc_RNA from 1 species